rnacentral:lncRNA from 1 species
GGCCCCAAAACAGAAAGGAAAGCUCACCACCAGAAUGUGCCUUUUCCUUAUCAAAAAGAAUUGCUGCCCCUUACAGGACAGGAGGACUCCAAUUGUGACCAAGUUGGAGCAGCCUUGAGCCACAACUCAGACUUAUUUUCAUUCUCUGCUCAUUGGCCAUUAGGAACCCGAUCCUUAUGACCUGCAGUGACCUGCUGCUACCAGAACUGACUCGCUUCAAAGUGACGGAUGAAACCCAUAUGGAGAUAUUCCUGGGGUGGGUAGGCCAGUUGGAAGACAGAGUGUUUACACCUGAGAGAGGACUUGAGAAUUUUACUCAGUCACGUUGCUCACUGCUGCGCACUCCUGCAGACGCAUCCCAGUGGACUCUGCGCUGCAUCCCCAGAGUACAGCGAGUUUCCCGCCUCCCGUUAGAGAUCCAACACAUAUUUUUUUUGAAAGAAGAAACUGAUGGAAGACAGGAAGCAAAAAGGAGAGGAAGGAAAGGGAUAGGAAGGAGGGGAAGGAAAGGGAAAGGAAGGAAAAGAAAGGAAAGUGAACUUGAAAUCCUACAAGGUCUCAAAGUCAAAAAACAUGAUUGCUGUUUUAGAGAAUUGAAGAUCCUUCAUCUUCAAGAAUCUGAAAUCUACCAUGAUCUUCACAUGUAGCCAAACACAAUGGGAUGUAGUCAUUUAAGAGUGCUGUGAAGGCAGUGAAAAGCAGUUGAAAUACCAUUAGUUAACAGAUUGCCCAAUGAAGUCGAUGACAACUGUGAUAACAAGUUACUCACUAUCACAGCGUCUCCAAGAGAUGAACAGUGGAUGAUGCUUCCAAAGCACAGAUGUCCCUCUCCUCCUCAACCUUCUCUCCCCAGAAAGAUGUCAACACUGUGGAGAUUGUGCUAUGAAGAUACCUGCACCCAGUUCCGGAUUUCACACCAAGCCUUUGCUGAGGAUAUGAGAGUAAUAAAAAGGGGAGCCCUGGUUCUUCCUCUCCUUUAGUGUCUUUCCUGGAAGUGGACUGCGAGAAGAGCUUCUUCAGCCACCUUCUGCCUGCAGACAACCUCCAUGAGUUUGCUUUAGAAGAAGGCUUCAAUUUGAAGAAAGUCAAAUAAAACAAGGUCAUUGUGUUUGCAAUUGAUCCUUGGAGACAGCGACAUCUGCGAAGCUUCCAAGCCACGGUGGUUCCACCUUCACAAGUAUCCUUCAAAGGCAUCCUGCAACCACCCCAUCCAUCCAAGUACUCCGUUGUAGGAUUCAAAAGCAAAUUGCAGGGUUUGCUGCCUGGCAGAGAAGCAUAGACACAAAGCAUGAGAGAGCAAAACCUAUGAGUUGACCAUAUCAUAAACACAAAUAGAUAUAUGCAGAAUACCAGCUAAAAAAUAGGCAAUAAACUUAAACAAUAGGACUAUGAGUAGACAUAGCAAGUGCUGGGUAGAGAUGACAGUUUUGUGUCCUGUUAGAGCUAAGUCAGAAAUCUGGGUCGAAGUGAAUGUGAGGGAGGAAAAGGCCAUUACAAUAUUUAAGAAGCAGCUCCAAUAUUUUUAAAACGUGAAGGAAAACUUGCAAGCAAUCUCUAGGGCUGGAGGGAGAGAAAUGCAAAGCCCUCUCAGCCUGCUCCACCAUUAUCUUUUGCAUUCCAAUAACUGACAUGCUGCUGAAUGUUAUGACUAUUUGUUUAUUGUUGACUGUUCUUGGCACUGCUCAGUGUAGCCAAAGAUUCCUUGCCUACAAGAAAGUCUUGCUCAGACAAUAAACCACGGAGAAAGAA